rnacentral:rRNA from 1 species
GCCUAACACAUGCAAGUCGAGCGAGAGAUCCUUCGGGAUGAUCCUAGCGGCGGACGGGUGAGUAACACGUGGGCAACCUGCCUCAUAGAGAGGAAUAGCCUUCCGAAAGGGAGAUUAAUACCUCAUAACAUUGCAGUUUCGCAUGGAACAGCAAUUAAAGGAGUAAUCCGCUAUGAGAUGGGGCCCGCGGCGCAUUAGCUAGUUGGUGAGGUAACGGCUCACCAAGGCGACGAUGCGUAGCCGACCUGAGAGGGUGAUCGGCCACAUUGGGACUGAGACACGGCCCAGACUCCUACGGGAGGCAGCAGUGGGGAAUAUUGCACAAUGGGGGAAACCCUGAUGCAGCCAACGCCGCGUGAGUGAUGACGGCCUUCGGGUUGUAAAGCUCUGUCUUCAGGGACGAUAAUGACGGUACCUGAGGAGGAAGCCACGGCUAACUACGUGCCAGCAGCUGC